UCAAAGCAGAUUGUAGGUUUUGGCAACAAAGUCAGCCCAGCUAAGAACCAUGAACCAGCCCUAUAACAGAUAAUCACUAACAGUGUUAAGAUGCUUUCUUAGCGCCUUCCCCAGCUCAGGGACGUUUACUGGGGUUGAAGGUUUAUCUCUCAUGCCCCCUUUUUGAGAGGCAGCACGUUCUUCCCUAUGGUGAUUGGGACUCCACUUCCCAGCAUUCUCGGCGGAAAUGUGACGCCGUCAAAACAAGCUGCUGUGACGUCAUCGUCAAGCGCUGCACCUGUGGGACCACGCGCUCUACCUGCAGACAGCGAGGAGGGAAACAGGCCAACUGCGGACGAAGACUGGCCGGCCUGACGUGCCGAACCGAACCCUGGACCCUUGAACCCAUGACGGCAAGCGACAACUGGAUGUUGGACAGAACUGACAAGCAAGACAGGUGGAGCCGGCCGCUGCGCCUGGGACCCGCGCUCCCCUGGAAGGCAGCGCAGCGCCGCGCCGCGCAGCGCCGGAGCCGGAGCCGGAGCCGGGACCGCAGCGGAGCCGCAGGAGCAAUUCCUCCCCCCUUCUGCGGACCCUCCAGAACCAGAGCAGCCGGACACAACUGCGGAUGUUGUUCAAAGCGACACUCUCCCCAACAGCCGAGAUCGCUGCUGAGACUUCACAAUGCAAUCGACCCGCCAUCAUACUCACCGCAGACAGGACAAGUAGAAACAAACUACAAACCACAAGUAACGCACACAACAUCCUGGUAAACAGGCUUGUAGAGGAGCAGCAGAGAUAGGCAGGCAGGCUAAAGCAGCUUAAAUAAGGCGCCAUGCAUGAUGUUUGCCAAUUGGAUGCUUGAGGAAAUCAGCUAAUGAUAGCAUGAAGCCAAGCAACCUGAAACGACCCCAGGAGACCAAACACCACCAGACUAUUGGUGAACGUUGAGAAUAUGUUGAGAGGAAGAAGCAAUUGGCACCAUCAAGAAGAUCCACGGACAUCAGAAAAGCUUUUGAAAGAGCAGGUAGUGAUUUACAAAGAGCCACGGAGGCGUCAUCUGACUGUUCACUGUUAAUUGCCGAGGCUAAAAAGCCGAACAAUAUUGGAGAGCAGCUUAUCAAACCCGCCUGCCUGAAAAUUGUGGAGAGGCUGUGUGGACUGCAUGUUGUUGAUAAAGUGAAAACUGUCCCACUGUCAGACAACACUGUGAAAGACCAAAGACCAAAACCAGCUGCAGAGAAGCUGAGGAACGUUAACUUUGCCAUUCAGCUGGACGAAACAACAACAGUGUCAGACGAGUCCGUCCUCAUGGUUUCUGUGCAGUAUAUUGAUGGCGAGGACUUGAAACAACACAUUCUUAUGUCUAAGAAUCUAUCAACAACAACAACCGGCCAGGAUAUAUUUAUGGCUGUGGACUCAUAUCUCUCAUCCAACAAUCUGCCCUAUGAAAACCUGGUAGCAUGUUGCCCUGACGGGGCCGCAGCAAUGAUGGGCAAAAACAAAGAGUUUAACAGCCGCCUUAAGGAAAAAGCCCCAGGGUGCGUGAUUUUCCACUGCAUGCCACAUCGGCAAGCACUGGCAAGUCAAAAACUUUCAGAAGACCUUAGUAACACCCUGUCAACUGUUGUUAAAGUUGUAAACUUUAUUAAAGCUAAUAAAUAAAUGCCUGUGCAUAAAAGGAA